CCUACGGGGUGCUGCAGUGGGGAAUAUUGCACAAUGGGGGAAACCCUGAUGCAGCGACGCCGCGUGAGUGAAGAAGUAUUUCGGUAUGUAAAGCUCUAUCAGCAGGGAAGAAAAUGACGGUACCUGAUUAAGAAGCCCCGGCUAACUACGUGCCAGCAGCCGCGGUAAUACGUAGGGGGCAAGCGUUAUCCGGAUUUACUGGGUGGAAAGGGAGCGUAGACGGCAGCACAAGUCUGGAGUGAAAUGCCGGGGCUUAACCCCGGAACUGCUUUGGAAAAUGUGAAGCUAGAGUGCAGGAGAGGUAAGUGGAAUUCCGAGUGUAGCGGUGAAAUGCGUAGAUAUUAGGAGGAACACCAGUGGCGAAGGCGGCUUACUGGACUGUAACUGACGUUGAGGCUCGAAAGCGUGGGGAGCAAACAGGAUUAGAUACCCUUGUAGUC
rnacentral:rRNA from 1 species